rnacentral:lncRNA from 1 species
UAAUUCAUCCUUCACUACCCAAAGUAAUAUACAUAUUCAAGUGACUAAACAACACCUAUGUACAUGCCACCUUUACCCAAAAGAAAAAUAUACAUCACCAAGUUUGUGUUGGAGUCGGGAUUGUUCUGGAUGCUGAGUCGGGACACUUGACUUCUACUAACCUGCGCACGGAAACAACCGUACGCUGAGUAUGGAUAUACUCAGUGGUAUUACUAUAAAUCAAGACUAUUUAAUAUUAAUAAAUUACAAACAUCAACCAUAAAUUUUAUAAUUAUUUAAACUAAUUUUAUAUAUAAUUAUUUUACUUCAUAAAAUCUUAAAUUCAUAAUUCAUUUUUCUCAUACUAACUCAAUUCAUAAUUUAACUCAUACAUUCUUUCUCGUACUUUUCAAUAGUGCUAAAACAAAUAAUCUCAUUUUCAAAAUUUCAUUUCAAUUAUUUACCCUAUUAACAAAGCUCGGACUAUGACAGAUACACGGAUUUCCACCCAAACACACCAGAAUAUCCAACCCAAACACACCAGAAUAUCCAACCCAAACACACCCAGAAUAUUGUAAAUCCUCCAUAACACACCGGUAUAAUAUAUCCUCCCAACACACUAAUAAUGCAUUAAAUGCCUAUUCGGAUAAACCGAAGUAUACAAUAACAGAAACAUCUUCUCAGCCGAACUACAAUCUCUUCAUCACAUCACAAAUCCAAUGGCAUACCAUUUGUAUCGAAUCUAGUCCGGCGAGUUAAUAGGGUAUUAUUUUACUUUUUCUAAUUUCAAUUUCACAUACUUACCUCAAGUCUUAUUUACCAUACAUAACAAAUAAAAUUUCAGCAAUCAAUAAUAAUUAAAAUUCGAAUUAUAGUAAUACACACCGUAAUUCUCCCGUUUUAGUCCUUGAUGACUUUCUCCUUUCCUUUCGAUGCUGAUGCUUCAGGUUCUU